rnacentral:rRNA from 1 species
GAUGAACGCUAGCGGCAGGCUUAACACAUGCAAGUCGAGGGGUUUAGUUCUUCGGAACUAGACACCGGCCCACGGAUCCGUAACGAGUAUGCAAUCUGCCUUUCACAGAGGGAUAGCCCACAGAACUUUGGAUUAAUACCUCAUAGUAUUAUAGACUGGCAUCGGUUUCUAAUUAAAGUCACAACGGUGAAAGAUUAGCAUGCGUCACAUUGGCUAGUUGGUAAGGUAACGGCUUACCAAGGCGACGAUGGGUAGGGGUCCUGAGGGGGAGAACCCCCACACUGGUACUGAGACACGGACGAGACUCCUACGGGAGGCAGCAGUGAGGAAUAUUGGUCAAUGGACGCAAGUGUGAACCAGCCAUGCCGCGUGCAGGAUGACGGUCCUAUGGAUUGUAAACUGCUUUUGUACGAAAAGAAACACUCCAACGUGUUGGAGCUUGACGGUAUCGUAAGAAUAAGGAUCGGCUAACUCCGUGCCAGCCGCCGCGGUAAUAC